GCCAAGAUCUUAAGGUCUGUAUAUGCUCUCAAAUUCGAUUUCGCCGCCUUCAUGAUAAUGGCAUGUUGAAAGCUAUGCCCAUACCUGUGGUUUCAGCUCACCUUCUGUGUUUCAUUCCUCCUAGAUUUAGACAUUCUCUGCUCUGAUUAUUAAUGCAUGUUUGCAGCUGUUCCCAUUUUGAGUUCUGCCACAUAAACAGAUGAAGGUCCCUAAGCUUUACUUAUAUCAUUCAGUGUGGCACAGAAGGAAGCGGCUUUCUCCAGCUGUAAUUGAAGUCCCUUCAACUCGGAAGGCUUCAUCUUCUGGCACAGUAUCAGGCGAUAUUCACUGCUGUUCAUGAGAUUUUCACUGGGCUGUUUUUGUUUUGUGUUGUUUGGUUUUUGUUUUAGAAGUGGAUCACCAGGUCCUUUCUAGUCUGUCUUAGUCUGGAAGCUCUACUCAAAUCUGCCCUUCACUAGUGACCUGCUGGUAUCAGAAAUACUGGUGGCAUACUUUCCAGUGUCCCUGUAACAUGCAAGCUACCACAAUACAACAAAAUGACAAAAGAGUGAAUACAAGCAAAAAUACCUUUAAAUGAUUUCAUUGCUAUUCUGUAUUCACUUAAUAUAAAACUACAAUAAACAUCUGUAUCUGUGUAUGUUUAAGCCCAUUUAUAACCAUAGGAUAUACUUCUAGAAAUCAGCAGCCUCAUCGUUUUCCUUCAGAGCCACUUGGUGGGUGUGAAGUGCCAGUCUUUUUGGUUAGCAGCCCAAUGCCUAACCUUCUCCAUUAUAAAAGCGGACUGCAAAUUUGGCUGUGCUUCCUAGCAGCCGAAGAGAAGGGGGACCAUUAGAAGACUCGCGGUUACUUAGGAGCAGACACAGACUUCUCUUGUACUGACACCUGUAGAAAGUGCCCAAUAUUGGUUUUCCUAACAGGCUGUCCGUGUGUUUUGUUUUGCUUUUUAACUUAAUUUUUAUUUUUAAGUUAUGUGUUGUUGUUGAUGGUAUAACCCAAUUCUCUAUUGAUUAAUAGUCAAUCUAAAGGCAAAGGAAGUAAUAAGCUCCAGACCCUCAGAAGUUACUUGCUCUCAAAUAACAAAGUGAAACCCUCCAGGGGCACCACGGGACAGACAUGAGGGAGGGAGGGCCUGGAGGAGAGUACUCAAAAGGCAUAGCAAAUACAUAUAUUUUUUUCAAAUAUAUUUUUAGAUCAUUUAUUGAAAGCCAAGUUUGUACAGAUCAUUGCAAUAUGAUAAAAUCAAACACAUUAGAUUUAUGGUACUAGAAUCUACGAUAUCGAUGUUUAUGCGAAGUAUCUGGUCUGUCUGUAUUCCAAGAACCAAGCAGUGUUUGGUAUGUUUUAAGUACUGAAAUAUGUCAAAUGAGUAUUUUCAAGAAUACAAUUUACGGGAUUUCAUAGAAUGAAUGGACACUGAAUCUAUUGAGUAUUGAGCAGCAAGAAUAUAAGUAUAAUGUUUUCCCAAGACAUAUAAUAAACUGCUAAUCAUGUCUUCAGGAUUUAGAUGGGGAGAUUAUUACCAUUACAAUUUUACACCCCCUCCCCCCAAUUUUAGCCCUUUAAGAAGUGUUUUAAAAUUUUACUCUUUACUCCUUCUCACAUUAAAAAAAAGUGCCAUCUCACAUUAAAAAAAAGUGCCAAUUCACACAACAUAUAACCAAAUGUUAAUUAAAAAGAACAGGUCAGUCACAUUUAGUAUAGAAUUCAACCACCUCAUCUAUCUAAUAUCAAACCAAUUUCAUUAUCACAAGAGAAAACCUGUACCCAUUAAGUAGUGGCUCUAAUUCUCCCCUCCUUUACCCCUAAGCAACCACCAAAUUCUCUGCUGUCUCUAUGGAUAUACCCAUUCAAAAUAUUUCUUAUAAAUGGUAUCAUAGAAUAUAGGACAUUUUGUGUGUGAUUUCUUUCCCUUGUGUUCACUUUUAUUUGAAUGAAUGAGUAUAUUUUCAAAAUUAUGUUCUCUGACAAGAACCUGGAGUGUAAUUUGAUCACUGGCUCUUAAUAAGAAGUAGGAUCUUUGUCUAAGAAAUCAUUGCGUAUGAUGACAUGUUUAAAUGCAUACUUAUAAAAUGCAUACAUGUUUAAAAUGUGUAUUCUUGGUUCCGAUAACUAGAUGUGUAUUUGACAAGUGGAGUAAAAACCCAAAUGAAACCAACUGCUGUCUUACAGUCACCCUGUAUCAGGGAGGAACCGCGGCCCCACAGGAGCUCCAAUGCCACAGACUGUCACAGCCUUCUCUAAAGAGCAGCUGAUGGAUUGAAAUCACCAACUUUAUGGUGGGCAGCUAAGUACUAACCACUGUACCAACUGGGCUACCCAAGUCUGCAACAGAAUCUUGGAAUCUUAACAUUUUUAACAAGGACUCCAGUAGAUUCUGAUGUAGGUGACAUAUAUACCACCCGCUGAGAAUCACUCGCCACCCAGGUGAAUUUUCCCCCCCAAAACUUCAUUCCAGCCCUAAACUUGCCACCAUCACUACACUCCUACUCAGUAUACACCCAACACUCACUUCUUUUGUUGCCCAUUUAAGGAUUACACAGGUUUGAGAAUCAGCCAUGUGGAAAGCGGGGCUGGUCUCUUGUACUAAGAGCAUCACCAGGAGUUUGCUUAUUAGAGAACUAAGCCCACCUCCACAACUAGUUUGAGAUUGCAAUCCAAAGAAAGUUUUGAUCUGCUUCAAUUUUGAUCCGCUUCAACACAAACAUGCGGAGAAGUACUUGCAACUCUGUCACACAGCAUGCCCACAGCCUAGAUAAUUUCCAGUAGGCCGCUAGAGGCAGUUCUGCAACUCAUUUCUGCAAGCCUACUGACCAUCUAAUUUUUAGCAAUACCAAAAGAAAGCUCCCUCGUGCUAUUUCUAUGGGUAUACUCACCUAUCUUCUACUGUCUUGUUCGAAGGAUAAAAAACUUUGAAUGAAAAUCCACUUCUUGGAAAAGAACCCUUUGAGAAGAAAAAUGGCUGGUGUCACACAGGCUGUCAUCUUGACACAAGCAGAUUGCCGGUCUUGCUCCCACAGAACCGCUGGAAAUCUGUGCUGAGGAAGUAAGGAUGAACACAAAGACUAACAUUCCACAGUUGUGAGCGUUUGGAAGGAAACAGGAAGUCCCGCUCAGAAGGAUGUGCACAAGCCAGACCUUCAGAGGGUUAGCCUACUCUGCAUUGGAAGACAUCCCAUCGCUCCCAGCUUAAAUGUUACGAUCCUACAGAAGCUUCUGCUGAGGAUCCAAAAGAUGUUAGAUCUUCCUAUUAUAUACUAAAUAGCAUCCUGCACUGCUCCUUUGUGAAAUGCAUCAAAUUGUCAUCACCUACUCUGGGGGGUGAGUAUUUAAUGUUGAACUCCUCCAACCAGCACAGAGCCAGUUGUCAAAAACAUAUCAUGCUACCCUGAAGGAAGCAACAAGUACAGAGCAGCAGACAGAGAAGCAAUGGACGGAAAGACAUAAUCUGGACUGUAAGCACGGCCCCACCAAUCUUGGCAAGUUAACUGUCCUGCCCUCCUUCAUCAACACAUUGAGAGCUGCUCUCUGUGCCCUGAUGAGAUGACUUUCUGACAACUGAAGGUACAAAGCACUUGAUGGUAGCAAGGGGUACCUUUAAUGUAUACUUUAGGAUUAUAAACCUUACGUUUAAAUCAA